rnacentral:rRNA from 1 species
AACGAACGCUGGCGGCAUGCCUAACACAUACAAGUCGAACGAGACCUUCGGGUCUAGUGGCGCACGGGUGCGUAACGCGUGGGAAUCUGCCCUUGGGUCUGGAAUAACAGUUAGAAAUGACUGCUAAUACCGGAUGAUGACUUCGGUCCAAAGAUUUAUCGCCCAGGGAUGAGCCCGCGUCGGAUUAGCUAGUUGGUGAGGUAAAAGCUCACCAAGGCGACGAUCCGUAGCUGGUCUGAGAGGAUGAUCAGCCACACUGGGACUGAGACACGGCCCAGACUCCUACGGGAGGCAGCAGUGGGGAAUAUUGGACAAUGGGCGAAAGCCUGAUCCAGCAAUGCCGCGUGAGUGAUGAAGGCCUUAGGGUUGUAAAGCUCUUUUACCCGGGAUGAUAAUGACAGUACCGGGAGAAUAAGCCCCGGCUAACUCCGUGCCAGCAGCCGCCGUAACAC